AUUGAACCCUGGCGGCAGGCUUAACACAUGCAAGUCGAGCGGAGAUGAGGUGCUUGCACCUUAUCUUAGCGGCGGACGGGUGAGUAAUGCUUAGGAAUCUGCCUAUUAGUGGGGGACAACAUUCCGAAAGGAAUGCUAAUACCGCAUACGCCCUACGGGGGAAAGCAGGGGGUCUUCGGACCUUGCGCUAAUAGAUGAGCCUAAGUCGGAUUAGCUAGUUGGUGGGGUAAAGGCCUACCAAGGCGACGAUCUGUAGCGGGUCGGAGAGGAUGAUCCGCGACACUGGGACUGAGACACGGCCCAGACUCCUACGGGAGGCAGCAGUGGGGAAUAUUGGACAAUGGGCGGAAGCCUGAUCUAGCCAUGCCGCGUGUGUGAAGAAGGCCUUUUGGUUGUAAAGCACUUUAGGCGAGGAGGAGGCUACCUGGAUUAAUACUCUAGGAUUGUGGACGUUACUCGCAGAAUAAGCACCGGCUAACUCUGUGCCAGCAGCCGCAGUAACAC
rnacentral:rRNA from 1 species